UCCGAUCUGUAUAGUAUGAGGAUGGACGAAGUACCUUCCGGUGCAGUGCGGCUUCGACCUAUCGCACGCCUAUCCAUUUGCGCAGACCAUCACGACCGUUCCACGUGUGUCCCAUGGUGAUAUGAUAUGAGAUCCUGAUGAUGUUGGCCGGAAGAGCUUUUCACUGUGCUGGUACAUGGAAGAUGAAACUUAAAAAGGUCUUGAGAACCGAAUAAAAGUAUCAUUAGAUUCCUAUUUGUACAACCUGGAGAUCACCUACUCAGGCAUUUGGAGACAGAUCCCAGAGAGAAAGGAAAAUAUUGAGCUGGUCUGUUCUAACCUUGGUGUUUAAAGAGCUAAAGGAAAACCAACUGUAGAGGAAGGAGCCUAGAGACCAGAGUUUGACCUCAAAGGACCUCAACUAACAUUCAGAUGGACUCCUGCAUAGCUAUCCAUCAGCUAAUGGUUCCACGGACAAACAUAAUCAGUACAACAAAGCGAAAGGUUUAUUUACAUUUUGUAAUGUUUUAUUGAUUAGAGAAUUUGUAAGAUGAGGUCCCCAAUAAAGAUUUACUGUUUUCAAGAAA